UCACACAGCAUAUGAGAUAAAUCGAUACCAUCACAGGAAGUAGGAUAAACCACACUCUUCACAUCUUAGUUCUCGGCCUGGAUGCAUCACCAAACGUCUUCAAGAUGGCCUGGACAGCAGCAAAAUCUUCCGGCCAAGGAUUAUCUGUAUUUAAGAAGUAAAAACCGGACUGUUUAACUGUGCAAACAACCAAAAACUUACGACUCGGAAACACGGUCUUCAUAUCUGCGCAAGGCAUGCAUGUGUAUUCAGUGCCAGAAAUCCAAAGGCGAGAAGCAAUUUCUUGCAUAAUUCGAAUCUAGACAUGCAGACAGUCAAACAAAAAAUGAAAAGGCCUUCUAGUAUUAAUAUAUUUUUCUGUCAUUUAUAUAUUAAGAUUGCAAGCUCAACAGAAAUUUUCACAGCAUUUCAUCUACAAGAUUAUAGCAGCUUGACAUUUACAAAGCACUGUUAAAAUUCUUCAACCAUACUAAAACUUUCAGGUAUAUUUCGACAACAUAGAAACGAAGAGUACACAGGAAGUGUCGCCUACAACUUUUAGAGUUGAAUUGAAUGGCCAUUAGUUUGCUCACUAUUUUUAUCCUCUUUUCCUGUAGUGCUCUGCAGCAGAAUCUUCUGGGCAACUCCAGCUUCAGACAAUUAACAUGGCUUUCCUGCCACUGCUAGUUGUCGCAGUCAUGUUGCACCUAGCCUCUACAUCAGCGCAGUCUGGCCCCGGAUGCAAAACACAAUGUGGUGAUGUCGACAUCCCUUAUCCGUUUGGUAUUGGUAUUGGUACUGGCUGUGCUAUUAGAGACUUUGAGAUCAUCUGCAGGAGGACUGCUAAUGGAAUCUACAAGCCAUUCUUGUUCGUUCGGAAUGUGGAGGUUCUAAGCAUCUCAGUGCCCCUCGGUCAAGUCCGAGUUUUAUCCGACAUCUCGACAUACUGCUACAAUACAAGUACAAGAUCAAUGGUACAGAAAGCUUGGUCCCUUGACUUCUCACGAAGCCCGUACCGCUUCUCCUAUCUACACAACAAGCUCAUAGUUAUUGGAUGCAACACGCUCGCAUACAUCAACAACUUGGGAAGCAGUGCAAGGUAUACGACAGCAUGCGCAGCAGUGUGUGAGAGCCCGGCAGCACUGACAAACGGUUCUUGUGUUGGCGCAGGCUGCUGCCAAAAUGAUAUACCAAAGGAUCUAAGGGGCUAUAUGUUCACAUUUUAUGAUGUUUACAAUAAUUCCAACAGUACGCUUUUCAACCCAUGUAGCUACGCCGCCAUGGUGGAGACAGAGACAUUUAGUUUCAGCUCGGACUUCAUAACCACUACAAGGUUCAAUGAUACUGACGAUGGGCGGAAGCCACUGGUGCUGGACUGGGUGGUCGGAAAUGCAACUUGUGAAGUGGCCAGAGACAUGCCUUCUUACGCGUGCCAUAGCAGGAACAGCAUGUGUGUGAACUCGACUAACGGCCAAGGGUAUCUAUGCAACUGCACCGACGGAUAUGAAGGGAACCCUUACCUCUUUGACGGAUGCAGAGGCAAGUUCAUUUCUUUACUUGAUCCCUGUUCAUCUUUAGAUCAUGUGCAAUCCUUUUAUGAGGAGUAAUAGUUAAGGGAAAUAUCAUUACUUGCUGUCUGUCCUGAUUUUGAUGCCUGGAAAUACUUGAGUUUACAAUCUGUUUUGCCUUUUUUUUCAUCUAUAGUUUAGAUCUAGUUAGGGCAUUUACCUCAUUUUUUCUCUAUACAAUGUAAUUUAUCUUUACUUUGGUGGAAGAAUGGCAAACGUUACACUCAUUAUGCCAUUUGAAAUUUGUAUUUGUCAAUACACAUAUGCUGAUUUUUCCAUGCAUUACUAUUCAAUCAAUCACUUGACCCCAAAUAAUUUGGUUCUUUGUUGCUGCAGAUGUCAAUGAAUGUGAGAAGAAUUCAAGUAUAUGCCCGAAGUCUGCAACAUGCCACAACACUAUUGGAGGGUAUUAUUGUUCAUGUUCUCCAGGCAGAAAGUUUGUAACGGAAACAAAGUCUUGUAACCCAGACAUCACCCUAAUCAUAGGUAAACCACUAGAUGUUUUUAGCAUUUGCUUUCUUGUGUAGAAAACAAUGGCCAACAGUACGUAAAGAUAUUAAUGACAUUUAGCAAAAGAGGGCCCAAAUAGUAGAACUACCACUGCCCAGGCAAGCACAUAGUUGAUGUGUCUCCUUGUGUUGGGCGUGCAACAAGUCUAUCCGAGGAAGCUUUAAAAUAAAUAAAUGAAAUGAGGAAAAUUGACAAAAACUCAAAAAGUGAAUCCAGAAACAAGCAUCCGUGAUUUUUUUUAGAAGGUAUAAUUAUAUUGCAUCACUACCGUUUAGUCCACUUUAUCACAGCAAUUUUUUUCUAUGCUUUUUAGUAUGUACAUUGUGGGAUCAAUUUGACUAACAGAAACACCUUUCAUGUUGAUUUCUACAGGCAUUAGCAUUGGCGUUGUCAUUCUAGUCAUUAUCAUCUUCUGCAUACGUGUAAUAUUUGAGAGAAGAAAGCUUGCGAAUGUCAAAAAACAGUAUUUUCAGCAGCACGGAGGGAUGCUAUUGUUUGAGAAGAUGAAAUCAGAUCAGGGACUUUCAUUUACAGUGUUUACUGAAGCAGAACUGAAACAAGCAACAAAUAAAUUUGACGAAAACCAGAUUCUUGGACAUGGAGGCAAUGGCACUGUGUACAAGGGAAUAAUUAAGGAUAUCACUGAAGUGGCAAUUAAAAGGUGUGCAUUGGUUGAUGAUAGGCAGAAGAAGGAAUUUGGCAAAGAAAUGUUGAUUCUUUCCCAUAUCAAUCACAAGAACAUUGUCAAGCUAUUGGGAUGUUGCCUUGAGGUGGAGGUCCCCAUGCUAGUAUAUGAGUUCAUCCCAAAAGGAACAUUGUUUGAUCUUAUUCACGGCAAGAACAGUAAACCGCAUCUCCCUUUCAGUUCUCCUCUAAGGAUCGUCAAUGAGGCAGCUGAGGGGCUUGCAUUUUUACAUUCCUACGCAAACCCACCAAUUCUACAUGGUGAUGUGAAAACCUCUAACAUCCUUCUUGAUGAGAAUUACAUGGCAAAGGUGUCAGAUUUUGGGGCUUCUAUAAUAGCACCAAUUGACAAAGCCCAGUUCGUCACAAUGGUUCAAGGGACAUGUGGUUAUCUGGACCCUGAAUAUAUGCAGACAUGUUGCUUGACAGACAAAAGCGACGUUUAUAGCUUCGGUGUUGUUCUUCUAGAGAUCCUAACAGGGGAGGAGCCACUGAAACUUGAAGGUCCUGAGAUAUGCCGGAGCCUGUCGUCGAGUUUCCUGCUGGCUAUGAAGGGGAACAAGCUUGAUAAUAUGCUCGACAAUCAAAUAAAAGAUCAUGAGAAUAUGGAGUUGAUUGUAGGGGUAGCAGAUCUAGCUAGGCAAUGCUUGGAAAUGUGCAGUGACAAUAGGCCCUCGAUGAAAGAGGUAUCUGAGGAGCUUAGCAGAUUAAGGAAGUUUUCGAGGCAUCCUUGGAUACAGCGUGAUACUGAGAGAGAUAGCUUUCUCGGUCUGAUUGAAACAGAACAAAGCUCUGAGUGCACAGAGAAGGAUGAAAGAAUGCCCAUAAAUCCAAGCAGUUUUUACCUUAUGAGGUGAACGAAAACACAGCGAAUUUUAUGCUUUGGCACUUUCAUUGUUCAUUUAACCUUCUCCGCGUUUAGCUGUAUGUUGCAUUUUAGUGUAAGACUCUCUUGGACCCUUGGGUAUUACAUAGAGACACCAUAAUUUAGCAAGAAUAAAUGUAUCGUGGUACAAAAUGUGGACACAUUCAGUGCUAGCCAUUUGAACUUGUGCGAGCUUUAUAGAAGUUUCCAAAAUCACUAGAAGAUCAGUGGAGGACUGGGUGUGAAAAUGUGAUCGAGUUUGGUAUUGAAACUGUGCGAUUACGUCAAGUGAUUUACUUUUCCUUUUUCAGGAAAGUUCACUGAUUUACUCGGUCGUGUGGGCUGGGCUCACUCACUUGGUUGGAUGUUCCAUUUUUCAUGAGAAUACAUACAUCACUUGCUAGAUUCUUUUAUUUUCACCAUUAUAUUUCAGGACACGAUGUAUUAUAGGCCCCUAACCUACAUUUGGCCUCUAUAAACACAUAAUAAGAUAAGAAAGACAUAGGAUAACAAAAUGCAGAGACAUACUUCAGUUGUGCCAUAAGUCUAACACACACACCCUCGCUUGUUUUCUGAGGCAGGGAGCUUCUUUGCGUCACCCUACAGCCGCCGG
rnacentral:lncRNA from 1 species